ACGACCUUACUUGAACAGGAUCUGUUCUAUAGGAUCUUACUUCUGUAUCCUUGACUUUUAAGGUGACAGGAAUCUAAACUUGGUGGAUGAAUCAUAGCCAUGCGAUCAGAGCGUGAUUAACGGCUGGUGGACAAUGAUUUUGGUUUCAUACUGAACUACUGAGCUUUUUUUUCUUUCAGCAAUUGUUUCCUUGUGAUCAUAUGCACAAGAG